AAGUCGUAACAAGGUUUCCGUAGGUGAACCUGCGGAAGGAUCAUUACCGAGUUAGGGUCCCUCCCCCACGAAGGGCCCGACCUCCCAACCCUGUGUUUAUACCUACCAAUACGUGUUGCUUCGGCGGACCGGCCGCCCCCCGUCUGGGGGGUGCUGCCGCCGGGGGUGAUUUCACCACCCCUGGAGAGUCGUCCGCCGAUGGCCUCAAAACCCCCAAAACUCAGUAUACCAAAUUGUGUAACACAACCCUUCUGAAUCAGACUUUUGAUAUAUCAAUCAAAAAUUAAAACUUUCAACAACGGAUCUCUUGGUUCUGGCAUCGAUGAAGAACGCAGCGAAAUGCGAUAAGUAAUGCGAAUUGCAGAAUUUCCGUGAGUCAUCGAAUCUUUGAACGCACAUUGCGCCCUUUGGCAUUCCGAAGGGCAUGCCUGUUCGAGCGUCAUUAUCCUCUCUCAAACCUCGUGUUUGGUGUUGGACCGCGUUGGACGGAUCCCGUCCAACUGGUCUCAAAGACAAUGACGGCGUCCGCGGGACCCUCUUCGCACUGAGCUUCACGGAGCACGCGUUGAGUAUCAAGGCCCCGGGGACCCGGUCCUCCUUUAUUUUUCUAAGGUUGACCUCGGAUCAGGUAGGAAUACCCGCUGAACUUAA
rnacentral:rRNA from 1 species